UUGCAGUGAGGACCAUCUUAGGACACCUUUGGAAUAAUCGUGAAAACAAUUAAAUAUCUGAGCUGC